GACGAACGCUGGCGGCGUGCUUAACACAUGCAAGUCGUACGGUAAGGCCCUUUCGGGGGUCCACGGGUGGCGAACGGGUGAGUAACACGUGAGUAACCUGCCCACAACUUUGGGAUAACGCUAAGAAACUGGUGCCAGUACUGGAUAUGUGCCACUGCUGCAUGGGGGGGGUUGGAAAGCUCCGGCGGUUGUGGAUGGACCCGCGGCCUAUCAGCUUGUUGGUGGGGUAGUGGCCUACCAAGGCGGCGAAGGGUAGCCGGCCUGAGAGGGUGACCGGCCACAUUGGGACUGAGAUACGGCCCAGACUCCUACGGGAGGCAGCAGGGGGGAAUAUUGCACGAGGGGCGCAAGCCGGAUGCAGCAACGCCGCGGGCGGGAUGACGGCCUUCGGGUUGUAAACCGCUUUCAGCGGGGACGAAGCUUUUUGUGACGGUACCUGCAGAAGAAGCACCGGCUAACUACGUG
rnacentral:rRNA from 1 species